GACAGAGGGUGCAAACGUUGUUCGGAAUUACUGGGCGUAAAGGGCGCGUAGGCGGCCUGCUAAGUCGAACGUGAAAUCCCCGGGCUCAACCCGGGAACUGCGUCCGAUACUGACAGGCUUGAAUCCGGGAGAGGGAUGUGGAAUUCCAGGUGUAGCGGUGAAAUGCGUAGAUAUCUGGAGGAACACCGGUGGCGAAGGCGGCAUCCUGGACCGGCAUUGACGCUGAGGCGCGAAAGCCAGGGGAGCAAACGGG
rnacentral:rRNA from 1 species